UGGGAAUCCUGGCUAUGGCCUUCAGGCUUGUAUUUUCACCUCAUACUAGGCCCUUCCUGGAAGAGGCUGUUUGCUUUGCUGCCACAUGGGGUGCCAUUUUCUAUAGUGUUUGAGAGGAUGUGCCAGGUCCUGCUUGCUCAGGCUCAUAGUCUAGCACCCUGAAAGCCACAGAAGUUAAGCAGUGACACUCUCAUCCAUAAGAAGUCCUACACCCCUAACCCAGCCAAUGUGGAGGACUAGCUGGAGUCUGGAAAAUGUGGACCAGGAAAUUUCAUACCAAGAACAUCUUCCUCAAGCAUUCACAUCCAUUUGAGGGGGAGCUGGCCAUACAUCAUGUACUCUGUGAGUUCAAGAUGAAAUACCACAUCCCAUCCGAUCUUGGAAGUUAAGGCUCUGCAGGAGAGAUUCAGACAGACUCCUAACAUUGUGAUAUACUGUUUACCUCACUCUAUGCUGUUACAUGGGAUUUCCAAUUGUGCUGCAGAUCUCUCUGCUUUUCCUAGCUCAGAACAAUUCAUCUCCAUCUAGUGAGUUACUCAUUUUCAGUUCCAUUUGUGUUAUCCAACUAUCUUCUGUCCAAUAAGAACAACCACAACAACAAGAUUAUGACCCAGUCUGGCCAGUUCCUAAUGGAAUCCUCUGAUUUUUGAUAUAAAAUAAAAUAUGAAAGGACAGGGUAUAAUGCAAUUGUUUGUUACUCUGCCAGAUGAUUAACACUGAAAAAUGCUUUGCCAUGUCCCCUGGGCCUCUGUGAAAAGCCACAGAAGCCAUUUAAGUAUCUGUUUGUUUGUUUUUUACUAGCUUUUGGAUAGGGACCUGCAGUUUCUUUGAAAGCUGAAGUUCUUAUCCAUUAGAUAAUUUGUAAUUUUAAAACAUAACUGACGGGCCCUCUCCCACCUCUCUCUCUAUAUAUAUAUGUCUGUAUAUAUGUGUGUGUUAGUGAUAAUAUAUAUAAAUGGGACUGCAAUGGCACAGUGGAUUAAACCACUAAGCUGUUGAACUUGCUGACUGGAAGGUUGGCGGUUCAAAUCCAUGGGAGAGAAUGAGCUCCUGUUUUUAGCCCCAGCUUCUGCCAACCUAGCAGUUUGAAAACAUGCAAAUAUGAGUAGAUCAAUAGGUACCACUCCAGCGAGAAGGUAACGGCACUCCAUGCAGUCAUGCUGUCCACAUGACCUUGGAGGCAUCUAUGGACAAUGCUGGCUCCUUGGUCAUACUGAUGUUAAGAACCAGAUUAUUGUCUCUGUGCCACGAGAGCAGCUGAUCCACCUCAUCCUGAUAGACAGACUCAUCCUCUUCAGAUAUAAGCCCCAUUGUGAUUGUAUCAUCCGCAAAUUUGGUAAUGGUAUUGCUCAGAAGGAUGGGGGUUCAAAUCAUAUGUGUACAAAGUGUAAAGCAUACAGCCCUGUGACAUCCCAGUGUUGAGAGUGAUAGUUGAAGAGGUAUGAUGACCUAAUCUAACCCUCUGGGAACGUCCAGACAAGACGUCCAUAUUUCAGGAACAGAUUAUGUCUGAACUUUAAAAGAAAUUUCCAAUUGAUUAAACUUAGGGAUUGGUUAUAUACCUUAAAAAGCAUCUUUAAAGUUAGAGGUAAAGACCAAAGAAGAUUCCCUACCCAUUGAUAUGGGAGUCACCACAGAAUAAUGAUAAUGAUGGUAAUUAUUAUUAUUAUUAUUAUUAUUAUUAUUAUU